rnacentral:rRNA from 1 species
AUGGCGUCCACACUCAAGCGUGCCUACCUCUCCAUCUAUAACUGGUCCAUCUUCUUUGGACGGGUGCAGGUGCUCUACUACGCGUUGCUGGAUAGUUUACCUGGACGUGAGAGGCUCAAGAAGAACAAGUAUAAACUCCUCCCCCUCUUUUCUAUGGUUUGUGAGUUCUUUCUGUUGCUGCAAGCAUUGACACAAUAUGUCAUGUGCAAGGAGCUCCGCAUCCGACUUUCAGCCAUCCUCUACAGCAAGGAGCUCUGGGCCAAAGGAGCAAGCAGCGCUGCUAGUUCCUUGAGGCCAGAUCGAUGA